UGAGAUUUUUUUAUCUUUUCAUGUUUUUUUGCUUAAAAAUGCGUUUGUUCUUGUCUUUUGGCAUUUUAUACUGAUCUAUGGCCAAAAUGAACCCGCCUAAGCCACACAACAACUCUUAAUGCAAGUGUUCAUCUUUAUUGUUUACAUUAUUGUCAGUUUACAACAGAGAAAAUUGCGUCGCCAAUAGCAGCCUAUUUUGCCCGAUUUAUUCCAUAUUUUGUGACGCAUAUUUAGAGUAUUUAAUCUGUGUAUUUUUACCCAUGGCAUACUUCAACAAGUAGAUUUAACCUUUUAUUGUGGCUUAGUCAUAUUUACAAACAUUAACUGCUUGGUUUUAAAUUGGUAUUUUUUUUCGAUUUUAAUUUGUGUUUUAAAAAGCAAGUUGCAACUAGGUUUAGACUAUGACAUCACAAAGUUUCCUAUCCAGUUAUUUCACGAUCCAUGAUUCAGUCCCCGGCUUUGCGACGUCGAGCUUAAUCAAAUUGCGCGGACUUGAAAUCUAGUCCAGUCCUCAUAGUUGGAUUUGAAAUAUUACAUGAACAUUC